ensembl:lncRNA
GCUUGAAGCAUUGCCUUCGAUCAGAGCACUUGCCUAAAAAGUCAACAUGGGAAGGCCAAUAGAGAGUCUACCCAGGAACCUGCAGACAUCUGGGGCAAACACUCUAUCCCUGGUGGUAGCAGUGUGAUCACCUUCUGGUCGUCAUACUGGUGAGGAAGUUAAGGAGCUAUUCUGACUGCAUUUCACAGCAGCAGCUGGUCCCACACAGGAGGCACAGCCCUCCUUCCCUGGAGAAUGCCAGCUAAUGAUGCAGAAGGAGUCGGAUUAAGAAACCAGCAUUCAACUGCCCAGCAG